rnacentral:rRNA from 1 species
GUUAAGUUAGAAAGGGCGCACGGUGGAUGCCUUGACACUAGGAGUCGAUGAAGGACGGGACUAACGCCGAUAUGCUUCGGGGAGCUGUAAGUAAGCUUUGAUCCGAAGAUUUCCGAAUGGGGAAACCCACCAUACGUAAUGGUAUGGUAUCCUUAUCUGAAUACAUAGGGUAAGGAAGACAGACCCAGGGAACUGAAACAUCUAAGUACCUGGAGGAAGAGAAAGCAAAUGCGAUUUCCUGAGUAGCGGCGAGCGAAACGGAACAUAGCCCAAACCAAGAGGCUUGCCUCUUGGGGUUGUAGGACAUUCUAUACGGAGUUACAAAGGAACGAGGUAGACGAAGCGACCUGGAAAGGUCCGUCGUAGAGGGUAACAACCCCGUAGUCGAAACUUCGUUCUCUCUUGAAUGUAUCCUGAGUACGGCGGAACACGUGAAAUUCCGUCGGAAUCUGGGAGGACCAUCUCCCAAGGCUAAAUACUCCCUAGUGAUCGAUAGUGAACCAGUACCGUGAGGGAAAGGUGAAAAGCACCCCGGAAGGGGAGUGAAAGAGAUCCUGAAACCGUGUGCCUACAAAUAGUCAGAGCCCGUUAACGGGUGAUGGCGUGCCUUUUGUAGAAUGAACCGGCGAGUUACGAUCCCGUGCGAGGUUAAGCUGAAGAGGCGGAGCCGCAGCGAAAGCGAGUCUGAAUAGGGCGUUUAGUACGUGGUCGUAGACCCGAAACCAGGUGAUCUACCCAUGUCCAGGGUGAAGUUCAGGUAACACUGAAUGGAGGCCCGAACCCACGCACGUUGAAAAGUGCGGGGAUGAGGUGUGGGUAGCGGAGAAAUUCCAAUCGAACCUGGAGAUAGCUGGUUCUCCCCGAAAUAGCUUUAGGGCUAGCCUUAAGUGUAAGAGUCUUGGAGGUAGAGCACUGAUUGGACUAGGGGUCCUCAUCGGAUUACCGAAUUCAGUCAAACUCCGAAUGCCAAUGACUUAUCCUUAGGAGUCAGACUGCGAGUGAUAAGAUCCGUAGUCAAAAGGGAAACAGCCCAGACCGCCAGCUAAGGUCCCAAAGUGUGUAUUAAGUGGAAAAGGAUGUGGAGUUGCUUAGACAACUAGGAUGUUGGCUUAGAAGCAGCCACCAUUUAAAGAGUGCGUAAUAGCUCACUAGUCGAGUGACUCUGCGCCGAAAAUGUACCGGGGCUAAAUACACCACCGAAGCUGCGGAUUGAUACCGAAUGGUAUCAGUGGUAGGGGAGCGUUCUAAGGACAGUGAAGUCAGACCGUAAGGACUGGUGGAGUGCUUAGAAGUGAGAAUGCCGGUAUGAGUAGCGAAAGACGGGUGAGAAUCCCGUCCACCGAAUGCCUAAGGUUUCCUGAGGAAGGCUCGUCCGCUCAGGGUUAGUCAGGACCUAAGCCGAGGCCGACAGGCGUAGGCGAUGGACAACAGGUUGAUAUUCCUGUACCACCUCUUUAUCGUUUGAGCAAUGGAGGGACGCAGAAGGAUAGAAGAAGCGUGCGAUUGGUUGUGCACGUCCAAGCAGUUAGGCUGAUAAGUAGGCAAAUCCGCUUAUCAUAAAGGCUGAGCUGUGAUGGGGAAGCUCCUUAUGGAGCGAAGUCUUUGAUUCCCCGCUGCCAAGAAAAGCUUCUAGCGAGAUAAAAGGUGCCUGUACCGCAAACCGACACAGGUAGGCGAGGAGAGAAUCCUAAGGUGUGCGAGAGAACUCUGGUUAAGGAACUCGGCAAAAUGACCCCGUAACUUCGGGAGAAGGGGUGCUUUCUUAACGGAAAGCCGCAGUGAAUAGGCCCAAGCGACUGUUUAGCAAAAACACAGCUCUCUGCGAAGCCGUAAGGCGAAGUAUAGGGGGUGACACCUGCCCGGUGCUGGAAGGUUAAGGAGAGGGGUUAGCGUAAGCGAAGCUCUGAACUGAAGCCCCAGUAAACGGCGGCCGUAACUAUAACGGUCCUAAGGUAGCGAAAUUCCUUGUCGGGUAAGUUCCGACCCGCACGAAAGGUGUAACGAUUUGGGCACUGUCUCAACCAGAGACUCGGUGAAAUUAUAGUACCUGUGAAGAUGCAGGUUACCCGCGACAGGACGGAAAGACCCCGUGGAGCUUUACUGUAGCCUGAUAUUGAAUUUUGGUACAGUUUGUACAGGAUAGGCGGGAGCCAUUGAAACCGGAGCGCUAGCUUCGGUGGAGGCGCUGGUGGGAUACCGCCCUGACUGUAUUGAAAUUCUAACCUACGGGUCUUAUCGACCCGGGAGACAGUGUCAGGUGGGCAGUUUGACUGGGGCGGUCGCCUCCUAAAGUGUAACGGAGGCGCCCAAAGGUUCCCUCAGAAUGGUUGGAAAUCAUUCGUAGAGUGCAAAGGCAUAAGGGAGCUUGACUGCGAGACCUACAAGUCGAGCAGGGACGAAAGUCGGGCUUAGUGAUCCGGUGGUUCCGCAUGGAAGGGCCAUCGCUCAACGGAUAAAAGCUACCCCGGGGAUAACAGGCUUAUCUCCCCCAAGAGUCCACAUCGACGGGGAGGUUUGGCACCUCGAUGUCGGCUCAUCGCAUCCUGGGGCUGUAGUCGGUCCCAAGGGUUGGGCUGUUCGCCCAUUAAAGCGGUACGCGAGCUGGGUUCAGAACGUCGUGAGACAGUUCGGUCCCUAUCCGUCGUGGGCGUAGGAAAUUUGAGAGGAGCUGUCCUUAGUACGAGAGGACCGGGAUGGACGCACCGCUGGUGUACCAGUUGUUCUGCCAAGGGCAUAGCUGGGUAGCUAUGUGCGGAAGGGAUAAGUGCUGAAAGCAUCUAAGCAUGAAGCCCCCCUCAAGAUGAGAUUUCCCAUAGCGUAAGCUAGUAAGAUUCCUGAAAGAUGAUCAGGUUGAUAGGUUCGAGGUGGAAGCAUGGUGACAUGUGGAGCUGACGAAUACUAAUAGAUCGAGGACUUAACCA